GCGGUGAAAUGCGUAGAGAUCUGGAGGAAUACCGGUGGCGAAGGCGGCCCCCUGGACAAAGACUGACGCUCAGGUGCGAAAGCGUGGGGAGCAAACAGGAUUAGAUACCCUGGUAGUCCACGCCGUAAACGAUGUCGACUUGGAGGUUGUGCCCUUGAGGCGUGGCUUCCGGAGCUAACGCGUUAAGUCGACCGCCUGGGGAGUACGGCCGCAAGGUUAAAACUCAAAUGAAUUGACGGGGGCCCGCACAAGCGGUGGAGCAUGUGGUUUAAUUCGAUGCAACGCGAAGAACCUUACCUACUCUUGACAUCCAGAGAACUUAGCAGAGAUGCUUUGGUGCCUUCGGGAACUCUGAGACAGGUGCUGCAUGGCUGUCGUCAGCUCGUGUUGUGAAAUGUUGGGUUAAGUCCCGCAACGAGCGCAAC
rnacentral:rRNA from 1 species